ACACACACACUGUGGUUGAGUGACUGAAAGGUACAAUUAUUUGUGAGAGAUAUGUCAACAAACUCAAGAGUUAUCCUUUUUGUUUCGUUAAGGUCAAUUGCAGAAAGCUACUGAGUUGAAGGAGGACGAAAGCAUUCUCAUUCAUAUUAAAGACAAAGACUGUGUGGCUCUGGAGGUGCAGUACCAUAAAGGCUGCUACAAUCGGUACACUAGGUUUUUGACGAGGCCUGCCAAACCAGAGAAAGAACGGAAUGAGCAAAUAUUUGACGUCCGCUACAAGAUAUUCUGCGAGAGGAUCAUCCGCCAAAGGCUGCUUAUCAACCAAACUACAGACAGGAUACGUUGAAGAAGAGGCUGAAUUCUCCCAGCUGGGGUUCGACACCCCCAAGCGUGCAGAUUGCUGACCAACUGGAUCUUAUAGUUUUAGUGUUCGACCAGGCUAUAUAUGCCAAGGCACAGCAAAUACGCUGGAAGAAUGAUGGCUUUACUCAACGUUUAGCCAUUAGAUUAGGCGAAUUCCAUACAUGCAUGUCCUACUUGAGCGUUUUAGGCAAAAGGUUUGGAGAUGCAGGACUGCAAGAUACCCUCACUGAAUCUGAAGUUGUUGCCCCAGGAUCCAUCAAUUGGGUAAUACAUGGUCAUGACUACAAUCGCACCAUGAGAGCUCAUAAACUUCUCUCUGAGAGUCUGCAGCCCAUCAGAUUUACCAGCUUCUUGGACUCCUUGCCACCACAAGAGAACACUGUACAUGGAUGUCAUCACUGACAUGAAAUGUGCCUUUCCAGACAAAUUGGUGGAUGUUUUGAGUGCAGAUCAGUGGUUUGAUGGAUGUUUUCAGUGCAGAUCAGUGGUUUGAUAGUAUGUGUUCAAAAUAUGCUGACUUUGUUCAGAGGAAAAGUACAGAGAAUGCAACAUUUGCUUUCUGGAGCUCAUAUCUUGACAUGAUGCAGCUACUCCUACUUUGUGAGAGCAACGCAAGGGUCAAACUGGCAGUUUCAUCUGUCAACGGUCAUCUGUGAACAGCAUGAAUCCUUGAUUCACUUUUUAGACUGAACACUAUCCAAGGGAGAUGACAAAAGAAUUGAGACUACAAUUUUUCGCAUGUUCGCACUAACGUAUGUAACGCUUGUAACACACUUUUGAUGGCAGACAAGUAAUCAUCCAAAACAAUUGAUCCAGAACCAUUCCUAUUGGUCAAUUCUUAGGAUUGCAUAGAAAUUGCAGCAAUGUCACAGAUUUCCAGUGCAAAGCUAUUGAGAUGAGUGAAUGCUUCCAAGAGAGAGGUUACCCCUUAUCUUACAUCUCUUCAGCUUACCAGCGGCCCUUAAUGAAGAACUGAACUGAAUCUGUCCUGCUUUCUAUGAACUGUAACUUUUGUAUGUGACUGUGCAUGAAAUGGUCUCUUGUUUUUUUGAUAAUGUGCUACAUCUCAUUUUUAAUGAUAUAUGAUGAUUUUAGUCUAAGAAAUGAUCUGCUUUCUGUGUGCCAAUUGUGCUAGCCUUCACCCUUGAUAAUAUUCUGGUGUUGGGGGGUGUGACCUAAUGACACAGUGAUGAGACCAAUUAUAUCUUAGCCUAUCCAGCUGAAAUUCUCGAAUUGUUCCAAUGAUCUGUUUUCAAUAUAUUGGGUGUCUCAUCUCUAGUUAUCAUUGACUCUGAGGAAGACACUGAUGUAUCAAAACGUUAGUCUGUUUGCACCAAAAUAAAAGACUGCAAGUAA